CUCAGGGUGAUGGGGGAAGGGAGUGGGGUAGGGCUCUGGCAUCCAGAACAGCUGACCCCUAGAGGAAUACCCAGAUGCUGAUGCAUGAGGUCACAUCAGGGGGGAACCCCAGGGGUGCUGCAGGAGCCACAGUGAUGUCCUUAGAGAUCCUAUUCAUUCUCCUCUGGCUCUUGGCCAGUGCCCCCCACUGGUUACCCAUCCCUUCCAGCCACUGGGCUGGGAAAAGCAAUUGUUGGAGUCACACACACAGGAUUCGAAUCCCAGUUCUGAUGUGUGACCUUGGGGAGAGCUUACAUCUUGAACCUCAGCUACUCCCCUCUCGUUAGGAGCUGUUAAGAAAAUUCACUGAGAUAGCUGUGUACACAGCCAGUGUCACCAUGGGGGCUCACCAGCCCCACAAGUCCCUGCACCCUCUGUCCUCAGGGACCCCACUUCCAUCCCAUAGAAUCCUGGCAGAAAACCUCAGGGUGAAUGCCCAUCUGCCCAUGGUGCCUGCUGCUGUUAUUAUAAUUCUCAAAUACUUUUCCUGUGUUUUUAAUUAGAAAAUGUUGUAUAGGAGCCAAUCACCCAUCUUCCUAUUUCCUUUAAUCCACUCAACUGUAGAUUAAGCUCGAUUAUUAAAAACUUGCAGCCAAAAAUGAAAUUAAAUUAAAAAGCCAAAUGAUUCAAGAGUCUAUCCCUCAAGGGCCCUUCUCCUCUCCCUCCUUCCUGGAGCAUCAAUCAACAUUCAGAUACAAAAUGUCCCAGCCCUGGUAACUGCCCUGAGCAGUUUACAGAUUAGUGGGAGAGACAAACUCAGAAAAGUUCUUGCAAUGUCGUGGGGACUCCCACUUGACAGGGACUCCUAUGAGUAUAUGUGAUGGCAGUGGUGAUGAGGAGAGGAACCGGGAAUAUUUCCUAGCAGAGGUGACACCCAAGCUCAAAAUAUGAAUAGGAGAUGGGGGGGGUGAUGGACAGCAAUGACUUCCCACAGAGAGGGUAGCAUCGUCAGGGGACAUGUGCAGAGGUGAUCCAGUCUGUGUGGCAAAUAGCAAACUGUUUAGCAUACAGGUGAACAAGGUAAAGAGACUAGAAGACUGAGAAAAGCUCCCAAAACAUCAGGUCCUAACCUAGGAACCUGAAAACGUUAGUUUGUAUGGAAGCAGGGUCUUUGCUGAUGUGUAAAUUGGGAAGCUGGAGAUGGGGGAGUUAUCCUGGAUUAUCUGGGCGGGUCCUAACACAAUCCUGUGUGUCUGUAUAUAGAAUCAGCAUAGUUGGCUCAUACAAGGGAGAGAAGACUGUGUGAUCACAGAGGCAGUGACUGAGACAGGCAGCUGUAAGCCUAGCAUCUUUGGGGAACAGUAGAGGUGUCAAGACAGAAGUUCAGGAUGACAAAAAGGGCUGGUUACAGUAACAGGCAGACCCAACCAAGGCCUGGUGGGCAGGGAGAAGAGGAGAAAGGGUCCUGGAGAAAACAACUAUGGGCCUAACCUCAACAAGUUAAGAAAUUUUUUUCUUUAAAGUUAAAGACUGCUAAGCCUGAAGAAGAGCUUACCGGCGCUGGAUCUGCCUUGCAAAAUUAUUGCUAGAGGCUGAGCAGGGAAACUGGACUUCACUGUGCAGAGUAGCAUUGCGGAAUAGAUCGCAGAAGUUCUCAAAGAGCUCCAGAAGUUCAUCUGAUGUAUUUUCAAACACAGCGAUCACCUCAGUUGUCACCAUAUUGUACACCACAAAGAAAGAUGCCUGCAGAAGAAAAGCGAGUGCUAAGGAACAGCUAGGUGUAAAGAAAUGCCUAGGAAAUAGCACUUGGCUUAAAAUCCUCACCACCCAAAUAAAACAAGUGAGCACCUCUGCUCUAGAACCAAGGUGGACGCGUGACUCCUGAUGGCCAAGACAGGAAGCACCAGACGCCUUAUCAAUAGACAGCCUCAGUGUGGACAGAUUUCCCACUGCUUCUGUCCUGCUAGAAUUACAGAGUUGGGCAGCACAUUUGUAUAAAAAGAUUUCCAACUCCUCAAUUCAAACUGCGCAAAUUCGGUAUUUUUCAUUCCAAAUGUUUAUUCCUUACUUGCUUCCCAACCCAUUUUGAGAUUUAAAAAAAAACUUUUUUAAAAUGCCAGAUUUAAUUUUCUUUCCUGCUGAGAAAGUGAUUUGCAGCCUGGGGCUGCCUGUUGGCAAAUGAUUUUCUCUUGUAUGUGUACAGUUGAAAGUCCAAUUCAGGGGUAUUUAUUUUUCCCUCUUAAUAUUUCUAACAUGCAGAGAGACGUCUUAAGUACAUUGUGUCCUAAAACUGCUCAAGCAAGUUGUAUCCAUGCAGGGUACUGCUGCUGAACAAAUGAAAAAUCAGAGAGACAUUUUCCAUUUCUUCCUUCAAAAUGUUCUUUCAGCCCAGAGUAUUUGUAAAAUACAUUUGAGGUUUGGAGCAAUUAAGAUCAGAGGGGAACCUGAAAAGCAUUCAGAUGCCAUAGGUGGCAGAGUUACUACUUUUUCUGAAUGGGCCCUGGAGAGACAGCCCUCUUCCUUUAAACCUCCAAUGCUCUGCUUCUCCCACAGGAAGCCCCAGGAACCCCUAAUCUUUAUCACAGUGAAUGUAGCAGUGUGAAUUAUUCUGUAAGCUCUCAACAGGACUCUAGAAGUUUUCAGAAUACUGGGAUUAGUAUUUCACCCUGCUCUGAUUGAAUUUAAAUCUCCACUACCAAUUUCUGGAGCCUUUUGGCCCACCUGUUGUAUUAGUAAUUAGUCCUUCCCAGAGGUCCUAUUUCAUAGCUUUUGCAGUCACCUGGAAAUUAAAUUUGGCUUUAAAUUAAAAAGGCUAGAAAGCAACCUGAGAAUAAUGCCCAUAAUGUUACCAAGGCUUUGUGUUUAGAUGUACUUUUUACACACCGACCUUAUUGGAACUGAUCAAAUUAAACUGGGGGAGGAGAGACGAGGCCAACUGGGGCAGAGAGAUUGGGUGUAGAGUUACAAACUCUGCAACUAAAGGACACAGUCUUAGUAGUCCUUCUAACUACAUCUUAUUGUAGCUACCAGAAAAAAAGGUCACCUGUUGGCAAAGGACAAAAGGAUAAUCUCAAGUGCAGAGAUCACAGACAACUUAUUCCAUCUUAAAAAAAAGAAGGUAAUUGUAGCUCAACCUUAAAUAAAAAUUGACUUAUGUCCUCUCUAUAGUCCCAGACAG